UACGUAGGGGGCUAGCGUUGUCCGGAUUUAUUGGGCGUAAAGAGCGUGUAGGCGGCCAGGUAGGUCUGGUGUGAAAACUCGAGGCUUAACCUCGAGAUGUCAUCGGAAACCAUCUGGCUAGAGUCCGGAAGAGGAGAGUGGAAUUCCUGGUGUAGCGGUGAAAUGCGCAGAUAUCAGGAAGAACACCAAUGGCGAAAGCAGCUCGCUGGGACGUAACUGACGCUGAGACGCGAAAGCGUGGGGAGCAAACAGG
rnacentral:rRNA from 1 species